UACGUAGGGUGCAAGCGUUUAAUCGGAAUUACUGGGCGUAAAGCGUGCGCAGGCGGUCCGUUAAGACAGAUGUGAAAUCCCCGGGCUUAACCUGGGAACUGCAUUUGUGACUGGCGGACUCGAGUAUGGGCAGAGGGGGGGUAGAAUUCCACGUGUAGCAGUGAAAAUGCGUAGAGAUGUGGAGGAAUACCGAUGGCGAAGGCAGCCCCC
rnacentral:rRNA from 1 species